CCUCCUUUUCUUGGCGGGGACCAGGCAUACAGUGCCACUCCCCGUUAUGUAUGGAGGCAGAGGAAAAGGGCUGUGGUCCCCUCUGCAUCAUGUCUUCAGUGCUGGCUGCUUCCCAUCGCCGGUUCUAUCUUCAAGCGCCAAGACAAGG
ensembl:snoRNA